UAUCUCAGCAACGGAAGGUUCCAGUGUCCUUGGUCUGAGGCUUGUCCAUGUACAGCAAAAUCCCACUUAGAUUAGAAGCAAAGCAGAACCGGUUGUUGUCUUCCGAGCACUCAGUUCUUCAUCACUACUGUGAUCUUCGUCUGAUCCCCAAGUCCGUUGCAACAGCCUUGAAAUCUUUGGGUUGAGCGCAGAGCAGGAGGUCGAAUCAGGAACCUGGGAUUGAGGGAUGAUGGGUCUUGUCUCUGUCUAGCCCUGCAGAGUCGUUACUUCCCCGUGGCUCCAGGGUGCGGUCAUCUGCUGAUCUUCUCUUUGCAUCCUUGUGUUGCCUUGACUUCUGCACCGGAGACGAAGAACUUCUCUUCUUGUUUUCCAUGGUCUUAUAUACUCUUUCAACCCAUGACUUUGUAUGGGGAGAUGGCCUACGUGACUUCUCAAGCAUUCAAUUACUUCAUGGAAAGUCCCAAACAUCCCCAUACUUGGUCAAAGCCCUGUUCGCUUCCCCUUUUGUUUUUUUGUCUUCUGGCCUUCUGGUUUCUUCUUUUUCCCAGACUUCCUUUUAUGGAAUCUUCUGUAAGACAUGUCCAGGCAUGUCUUUUCCCUGCCUCUGUGCCUAACACACUGUUUGAUUAUUUCAAUUACAUUCCUAUAUAUGCUGCAUGAUUAUCAUAAACAUUAAACAUCCUUUAAUGUACUCUUUCAAACAUUACUCCCUUUAAUAAACAUUUGAUUUCAAUUCUAUUAUUAACCUUUAAUUCAUCAUUUUAUUCACCAUGUAUUUCAUUACUCGAUCAACUAACUUCUUUAAUCAUCAACGAAUCAACAUACAAAAUUAUCAAUUCCUCUUUUUGGAAUUCCCCUCAGACCAUUUAUUGACCCUGAAUUCUGUUCUAAUUAUAAGACAUUCUGGGAAUUACAUGUCCUUAUGCUCCAAACAAUGUAUGGCUACUCCAGUUACAAUUGUAUUUAUGCUUUUAUUCUAUUUAUGUUUUAUGAUCAUCAUAAAACAUUAAACACGAUUACCUUCUAAUUUGAUUCUUCAACAUAACCUCUUAAAAAUCGACACAACUUAAUUCACUUCAGCAGCUGAGAGGAAAGCAGAAAAUAUAUAUAUAUAUUUUUUUAAAUCAUCAAAUCAAGUUAAACUAUCAUCUCCUAAAGCUGAUGCUCUGAGAAAUUUUGGUGCAAUAAACUGGUUGUAAAUUACAGUGAUCCCUCAACUGGUGCAAAGGACACCCACAAUCCAUAUACCUGGUAAACAAAAUUGCUGCGAACAUCAAUUUUGAGAAUAAUGUAAAUUAAUUUGCCUAAACCCUUGUGACCUCAGGUUGACUUCUCUCCCGUCUUGAAGCUGAGCCUCCAACUGUUGCAAAACUCUGGUGUCUUUCACAGACUUUUGUGGGGAAAUAGCCUAGUGUAUUUCCUCAUCUCGUUCCUUGCAGCAGAAGAAUGCAUAAAGUGCUGUAAGAUGUCCUGGUAGAUGACUGCGUUAACUCUGGAACAACUUCACUCUAGACUUCAAGUAACAUGGAUGCUGUGCUUCUGCACUCUUCACCCAGACUCUGGGACCCCGAGGAGGUUCUGCAGUAAAGGUGCCAGAGUGCCAAACAGGCUGAGACCACCCCUGCUUGUAAUCCUAUAUUUGUUGCUGCUGCAUGUUUUUCCUACCACAUUUCUUCCUUCCAUAGAACUUUCUAUGUAAUAAAUUUUCACAUUCUAAUUUUCUGACACUGAAUUUUGUGGUUUUCAUUGUCAGUGAGCCAUAAUCACCAGAAUUACAAAAAAUAAAGGCUUUAGCUCUGUAUCAUGAA